rnacentral:rRNA from 1 species
GAUGAACGCUGACGGCGUGCCUAACACAUGCAAGUCGAGCGAACGGACGAGAAGCUUGCUUCUCUGAUGUUAUCGGCGGACGGGUGAGUAACACGUGGUUAACCUACCUAUAAGACUGGGAUAACUUCGGGAAACCGGAGCUAAUACCGGAUAAUAUUUUGCACCGCAUGGUUCAAAAGUGAAAGACGGUCUUGCUGUCACUUAUAGAUGGAUCCGCGCUGCAUUAGCUAGUUGGUAAGGUAACGGCUUACCAAGGCAACGAUGGAUAGCCGACCUGAGAGGGAGAUCGGACACACUGGAAGUGAGACACAGUCGAGACUCCGACGGGAAGCAGCAGUAGGGAAUCUUACGCGAUGGGCGAGAGCCUGACGGAGCAACGCCGCGUGAGGGAUGAAGGACUUCGGAUCGUAGAACUCUGUUAUUAGGGAAGAACAUAAGUGUAAGUACCUGUGCACAUCAUGACGGUACCGGAUCAGAAAGCCACGGCUAACUACGUG